rnacentral:rRNA from 1 species
AUGGUAUCCUGCUCUUUUGUUUGUUUGAUCCAAUUGGUAUCGGUUCGAGUGUGUGAUGGAAUGGAGAUGAAAGAUCGUGACGACACUGACGGUGUACCGCGUCCACAGGUCAGUGGUGCCGCCUCUGGUUUCUUCCCCAUCAAUCCCAGACAUCGCUUGUACGCUUGCAUAAGUAGUUUGCCGCUCUCAAUUCUCACUCUAACUCUCUUGUCAUUCUUCUCUCUGUUUUCCUAUGAGGUGAGGAGAUUAGGCACAGGCUUGUUGUUGCUUUGCUGUACCAAAUUGGAACCAAUGAUGAAAAGAGAAGCAUGUUUUCUGUCGGAUAUUCAAAAUGGAUCCCAGCAGCAUAUGGUCCUUCAUGUAAAAGAUAAUUUUGUGAAUGCCAAGAAGUAA